UUUUUAAGGUAAAGACAUCAUAGGUCAUUGUAAUAUUGUUGUUGUGUUUUAAGGUAAAGACAUCAUAGGUCAUUGUAAUAUUGUUGUUGUGUUUUAAGGUAAAGACAUCAUAGGUCAUUGUAAUAUUGUUGUUGUGUUUUAAGGUAAAGACAUCAUAGGUCAUUGUAAUAUUGUUGUUGUGUUUUAAGGUAAAGACAUCAUAGGUCAUUGUAAUAUUGUUGUUGUGUUUUAAGGUAAAG